rnacentral:rRNA from 1 species
GAUGAACGCUAGCGGCAGGCUUAAUACAUGCAAGUCGAGGGGCAGCAUGAAUGUAGCAAUACAUUUGAUGGCGACCGGCAAACGGGUGCGGAACACGUACACAACCUUCCUAUAAGUGGGGAAUAGCCCAGAGAAAUUUGGAUUAAUACCCCGUAACAUAAUGAUGUGGCGUCACAUUAUUAUUAUAGCUACGGCGCUUGUUGAUGGGUGUGCGGCUGAUUAGAUAGUUGGCGGGGUAACGGCCCACCAAGUCUACGAUCAGUAGCUGAUGUGAGAGCAUGAUCAGCCACACGGGCACUGAGACACGGGCCCGACUCCUACGGGAGGCAGCAGUAAGGAAUAUUGGUCAAUGGACGCAAGUCUGAACCAGCCAUGCCGCGUGAAGGAUUAAGGUCCUCUGGAUUGUAAACUUCUUUUAUCUGGGACGAAAAAAGGCUAUUCUUAGUCACUUGACGGUACCAGAUAAAUAAGCACCGGCUAACUCCGUGCCAGCCGCCGCAGUAAGAC